rnacentral:rRNA from 1 species
UACAGGGGGGGCAAGCGUUGUUCGGAAUUACUGGGCGUAAAGGGCCAGUAGGCGGCCAACUAAGUCCGACGUGAAAUCCCAAAGCUUAACUUUGGAACUGCGUCGGAUACUGGAUGGCUUGAAUUCGGGAGAGGGAUGCAGAAUUCCAGGUGUAGCGGUGAAAUGCGUAGAUAUCUGGAGGAAUACCGGUGGCGAAGGCGGCAUCCUGGACCGACAUUGACGCUGAUGCGCGAAAGCCAGGGGAGCAAACGGG